GCUGAUACAUGUGAUUCAGUGGUGGCUCUGUUGGAGGAGCCCGGUUGCGCUCUCUUUCUUCAUCUAGUUGCCUCUGAAGGUUUGUCACGACUUGCACAAGAGUUUGAAGGUCCAUGUUAUUCUCUGCCAUUGCUUGCUUUUUCUUUCGCGGUUGUCUCUUUUGUACUGUUUUUCGAUUUCCAAGUUCAAAGGUACUAGAUGUUCCUUUCCUUUGGAUCUCGUGAUCAUGCACGCCUGAGACAACAAACAAAAACAGAAAUUCAAACUAAAAAAAAUAAAAAAAAAAAAUUAAAACUUAUAACGCCUGAAAUAAUGCUUAAGUCUAAUCAGAAAUAUUAAAGUUAAUUCUAAAUAGUCCCC
rnacentral:lncRNA from 1 species